rnacentral:rRNA from 1 species
AUUGAACGCUGGCGGCAGGCCUAACACAUGCAAGUCGAACGAGUGGCGGACGGGUGAGUAAUGCCUGGGAAACUGGCUGAUGGAGGGGGAUAACUACGGGAAACGGUAGCUAAUACCGCAUACCAUCGGAUGUGCCCAGGGGGGAUUAGCUAGUUGGUGGGGUAAAGGCUCACCAAGGCGACGAUCCCUAGCUGGUCUGAGAGGAUGACCAGCCACACUGGGACUGAGACACGGCCCAGACUCCUACGGGAGGCAGCAGUGGGGAAUAUUGCGCAAUGGGCGCAAGCCUGAUGCAGCCAUGCCGCGUGUAUGAAGAAGGCCUUCGGGUUGUAAAGUACUUUCAGCGGGGAGGCGUUACCCACAGAAGAAGCACCGGCUAACUCCGUGCCAGCAGCCGCGGUAAUAC